rnacentral:lncRNA from 1 species
GUUGUGCCUUGGAGGAAGAACUUCAGCGUGCUAUCUUGGUGGCAAUCUGCGAGUCCCAAAUAUCCUACCCUGUCCAAAAUGGCUCGUGAUCUUUUACCAAUACAAUUUUCUCUCGUUACUGGCUUAGACGCAUUUUACACCGAGCUACGCGAGCCUGAUCAAAAGUUAGUUUUCUUGGAUAUAUUGAACGCCGAUGAGGCCUAGUUUGUUAUCUGUUGUUGAAGAUAAAAGACGUCGACUCUACCAAGAAUCGGUAUGAGUUAGUGAGAAGAUUGCUAGGUGAUAAUUGGGUCACUUGUAGGAAUCAAGUUCUCAUGUGAACAGAAUUUGAGCAUAUAAAUAUACAAUAUUUAUCGUAUAUAAUCUUUUUUUUAACCAAUAAAAGGUUUCGACAAAUUUUC